UACGUAGGGGGCAAGCGUUGUCCGGAUUUAUUGGGCGUAAAGAGCGUGUAGGCGGCCCGAUAAGUCCGCUGUGAAAGUCCAGGGCUCAACCCUGGAAUGCCAGUGGAAACUGUCGGGCUAGAGUCCGGAAGAGGCGAGUGGAAUUCCUGGUGUAGCGGUGAAAUGCGCAGAUAUCAGGAGGAACACCGAUGGCGAAGGCAGCUCGCUGGGACGGUACUGACGCUGAGACGCGAAAGCGUGGGGAGCAAACAGG
rnacentral:rRNA from 1 species